GAUGAACGCUGGCGGCGUGCCUAAUACAUGCAAGUCGAGCGAACGGACGAGGAUCUUGCUUCGCUGAUGUUAGCGGCGGACGGGUGAGUAACACGUGUAUACCCUACCUAUAAGACUGGGAUAACUUCGGGAAACCGUAUCUUAUACCGGAUAAUCUCCUGAACCGCGGGGUUGAAAGGAGAGAGACGGUGUUGCUGGCUGUUAUAGAUGGAUCCGCGCUGCAUUAGGUAGUUGGUAAGGUAACGGCUUACCAAGGCAACGAUGCAUAGCCGACCUGAGGGGGUGGUAGGCGACACUGGAACUGAGACACGGUCCAGACUCCUACGGGAGGCCGCAGUAGGGAAUGUGCCGCAAUGGGCGAAAGCAUGACGGAGUAACGCCGCGUGAGUGAUGAAGGUCUUCGGAUCGGAAAAAUCGGUUAUUAGGGAAGAACAUAUGUGUAAGUAGAUGUGCACAUCUUGACGGUAACUAGUCAGAAAGCCACGGCUAACUACGUG
rnacentral:rRNA from 1 species